AUGUACUUGUCUCCUGACAGAGCCCUCUUCUCUUGGAGGCUUGUGUUAAAAAAAAAAAAAAUUAACUCCCUGAAAAAACCAACAUGUACCAGCACUUUUAAAGAAAUAUCUAGAAAGUCCCAUGACAUUUUUAUGAUAACCUUUUCCCUCCUUCUUCUAGGUCUGAGUGCCAAUCUCAAGAUUCACAAUCUCUCAUCUUUAAAGCUAUCUAGAGGUGCGCCUUCUGCCUGCCUUGUCUCUAAGUCCCAGUUCAAAGGUCUUCUGUGUCUGGACCAUUCUGACCAGGUCCAAGGAGAACUUGAGUUGUGUGUGUCUACAGGAGAGGCCAGAUGGAAUCCCGUAUUUGCUGACCACCAAGCAAGGGCACCACGUGUCCUGUUCCCAGCUGAGCCAGAGGACAGUGAGGAGGUAGAUGUGAUCCUGGUGACAGAGAACAAAGUCACUACGUCUCCGUUUGAACACCUCUACUGA
rnacentral:lncRNA from 1 species